rnacentral:rRNA from 1 species
UAGGGAAUCUUCCGCAAUGGACGCAAGUCUGACGGAGCAACGCCGCGUGAGUGAAGAAGGAUUUCGGUUCGUAAAACUCUGUUGUUAGAGAAGAACAGCGCAUAGAGUAACUGUUAUGCGUGUGACGGUAUCUAACCAGAAAGCCACGGCUAACUACGUGCCAGCAGCCGCGGUAAUACGUAGGUGGCAAGCGUUGUCCGGAUUUAUUGGGCGUAAAGCGAGCGCAGGCGGUCAAUUAAGUCUGAUGUGCAAGCCCCCGGCUCAACCGGGGAGGGUCAGUGGAAACUGGUUGACUUGAGUGCAGAAGAGGAGAGUGGAAUUCCAUGUGGAGCGGUGAAAUGCGUAGAGAGAUGGAGGAACACCAGUGGCGAAGCGACUCUCUGGUCUGUAACGGACGCGGAGGCUCGAAAGCGUGGGUAGCAAACAGG